AACGAACGCUGGCGGCAUGCCUAACACAUGCAAGUCGAACGAAGUCUUCGGACUUAGUGGCGCACGGGUGCGUAACGCGUGGGAAUCUGCCCUUGGGUGCGGAAUAACUUCUCGAAAGGGAUGCUAAUACCGCAUAAUGUCGUAAGACCAAAGAUUUAUCGCCCAAGGAUGAGCCCCGCGUAAGAUUAGCUAGUUGGUGGGGGUAAAAGCCUACCAAGGCGACGAUCUUUAGCUGGUCUGAGAGGAUGAUCAGCCACACUGGGACUGAGACACGGCCCAGACUCCUACGGGAGGCAGCAGUGGGGAAUAUUGGACAAUGGGCGAAAGCCUGAUCCAGCAAUGCCGCGUGAGUGAUGAAGGCCUUAGGGUGUAAAGCUACUUCGUCGGGGAAGAUAAUGACGGUACCCGAAGAAGAAGCCUCGGCGUAACUCCGUAGCCAGCAGCCGCGGUAAU
rnacentral:rRNA from 1 species